UCGGGAAUUUUGCGCAAUGGACGAAAGUCUGACGCAGCAACGCCGCGUGAGGGAUGACGGCCUUCGGUUGUAAACCUCUUUUGUCAGGGAAGAUGAUGACGGUACCUGACGAAUAAGCCACGGCUAACUACGUGCCAGCAGCCGCGGUAAUACGUAGGUGGCAAGCGUUGUCCGGAUUUACUGGGCGUAAAGAGCGCGCAGGCGGUCGUUCAAGUCGCGUGUGAAAGCCCCCGGCUCAACUGGGGAGGGUCACGCGAUACUGAUCGACUCGAAGGCAGGAGAGGGUAGUGGAAUUCCCGGUGUAGUGGUGAAAUGCGUAGAUAUCGGGAGGAACACCAGUGGCGAAGGCGACUACCUGGCCUGUUCUUGACGCUGAGGCGCGAAAGCUAGGGGAGCAAACGGGAUUAGAUACCCCGGUAGUCCUAGCCGUAAACGAUGGACACUAGGUGUUGGUGGUAUCAACCCCGCAGUGCCGAAGCUAACGCAUUAAGUGU
rnacentral:rRNA from 1 species